GGCUUAUCGAACUGCAUAUUUUUGCUUGGAAUCCCGAGUAGAGUCUCUGAUUCAAAAUUCAAACAGUGAAUUCAGCGUGAUUAUAUUACAGAUGAAUGAACAAGACUGCAUCCUGAUCUCAUGUCUUUACCCUUGGAAGACGAGAAUAAAAUUAUCUCUAGGAUGGAUCACAAAGGCAAGAGAAAUGUAAUUGACAUAUAUGCAGGUAUCUUGAGAUUGUGAUUCUUCAAGCUAUUUCACAAAAAAAAAAGCACUCAUUUGACAUUCUAUGAAAAUCUUUUACAAGAAUAUAUGUUUUUUUUUGGGUAUUCAAAUAUUCAGCUCUGUGGAAUUAGAGGCAAUAUUAAAGCUCCUGCCAAGGCAUUGUUCGGGCAACCAGAAAGAGCCUAAAUUUUUAACCUUUUUAGUCAGAACAAACAAGAGCGUAACGCAGCCAUAGUCCUUGCUCGCUCUUUUGAUUGCAAUGUAAGAAAAACUAUUCAAAAUGUAAAAUCUUCUGUUAAAAUUAUAUUCUCAGACAUUGAAAAUCAUUGUGGGUUUAUUUACACAAUACAGUUUUAAAUAUAGGAGUUGAGGCUUAUAUGCUGGUAACAUUGCUUGGGCUAAGAUGAUCAAACAAUGGUGAAUGAGUCAUUGUCAUUAACCACAACCACCAGUUUUAUUGUUGUGUGUGUUGUUUGUUUUUUCACUGUGGUUCAAAGAAGGAAGGUGCAAGUCUGGGUUCUCACUGACCAUCCAAUAUUGCGGCAUAGAGUUUCACUAUAAGCAGCAUAUUUCAUUUUUACUUCUUUUUUUUUUUUAAUAUGGAUCAUCGUUUUAAUUAGGUUGCCAUUUCUGAUUUGUUUUGGUUUGUUCUUGAAUUUAGAUUAUAUUGUCAAAUAUAUGGUCAGGUCUCUUGUGGUUGAAUCAAUAGUCUAAUGAAUUUGUGUGUUAUCUAUACUUCUGAAACAUAUGAGUCUCCACGCUACUUCAGGGGCAUAGUUGGUCGUGUGGCAAACUGGAUCUAAGACGGCAAAUGUAGACUCAGGGGAAUCGACUACACCUCCCAUCAAUAAGGCCUCUAAACAGCUUCCAUGGUAUGUAAGACUUAUCUCUUCUUUUGUAUGAUUAUAUAUCAUUUUGCAAAGUUCAUCAGAUAUGUGUAAAACAUCAAUGUUACUCAUAAAUAUGGGAUGUAGCAGAAGACGGUGAAAGACCUUUCAUCACUUUCAAAUAUCACAUAUCUGGUCGAGAAGAAGGUCCCUACAUCUAUAUAUGGGAUUAACGUUGCAGAAAAGAUCUUUUUUCAUCAUUUAUCUUAUACCUCUUGGAUAGGUUAUCCUGGUGCAGUUUCUAACACACCGACAUACAUUCUCAUGUCAGAAACUACCAUGAAACUUAACAUGGAGGCAUCUGCAGAGAACAAAAACACUCCGAUUAACUUAGCUCAGAAUACGUACUGGAACUUGGCGGGUAAUGCCUCAUGGAACAUUGUUGACCACAUGAUCCAGAUUUGGGGUCCACAUAUCACCCAUGUGGAUCAACACACAGAUCAUGCGAGAUUCUUACGGGAAAGGGAUCUCCUUUCGCUUUCACCACAAGAAAUGGAUAGGCGAGUCUACAAGAGAGGUGGGCAUAAGAUAUGAUCAUAACUACGUAUUGGACUGUCCUGAUCAAGAGAAGGACGGGCUGAAACAUGCAACAAAGCUGAAGGACGGUGCGAGUGAACAAGUGAUUUUACAUGGAUGUGGUUUAGGUAACUGAUUGGAAUAACUGGCCGUUUAAAUUAUUUAUGUCUUCAUAUAUAUAUAAAUUUUAAAAGUCACGGUUACUAUAUAUUUACAAGGAGACUUGGAUUUUUCCAGAGACAUGUUCAUUUUCUCAUUCAAAAAUAAUAUUCCAAAGCUUUGGCUAUUGAAUUGUUUUUGACUAUCCAAAAACAAUAUAUGGAGUUUUUGAAUUUUGACUCAUUAACACAAAUAAGUAUUGCUGACUCAAAAGUAUUUGAAUUACACAAAAUAUUAUAAAUUUUUAAAGUUAUUGAUCAUCAAUUAUCUAAACUAUCGCUUUAAAUAUAUGUUACAUCAAAAUAAAGUUUGGACUAUUACUUUUCUUUGAAUAGUUUUAAGAUUAAAAAUUAGUCAGUCUCUUAUGUAGAAGGAUUAACUUAUUGUUGGAUCUAUAAAAGUACGAACAUUAUGGUAACGUCAUAAAUUUUUGUACUAAAAUUAUAACAAGCUUAUAGACAUUAUUAAAAAAGUUUAAAGAAAUAUUGAAGAACAAAUAUUAAAAUACAGAAAAUAGUACUACAUCACUUCAUAUAAAAAGUAAGAGGAGUUGAACGAGCAAGGGAAAAACCACCCACAAUACACCUUUGUCAUGUUCUUUGUUGUAAUUGGGUAUUUUGGUUUAUCAGAACGUAACUCUGUCUUUAAAACUAGACCAAAAAACUCUGUUUUAAAAUAAGAAAAGUUUUUUUACAUUGGCCUAUAACAAUAAUUAUUGCCUAUUUACAUAUAAAACAAUGUAAAAAUAAAUUAUAUAGUAAUAAAGUAUAUUAUAAAAAUUAAAUAAUACAGAAAUAAAAUAUUAAACAUGAUUUGAAUAAUAAAUAUAAAAAAUGUGAUGUUAAGAUUAAUAAUAUAUUUUCAAACUAACCAAAAUAUGUAAAAAAAAAUAUUU